GAUCAAGCUAGAAAGGGUGUACGUGAGGAUGCCUAGGCACCAAGAGCCGACGAAGGACGUGGCUAAGCUGCGAAAAGCCCCGGGUAGACGCAAGCAGUCGAAGAUCCGGGGAUGUCCAAGAUUCGGAAACGACACGAGGUAACCCCUCGUGAGCCGUGCAUGAAUCCAUAGUGUACGGUAGGGAACGCAGGGAACUGACCCAUCUAAGUACCUGCAGGAAAGGAAAGAGACAUCGACUCCCCCAGUAGAGGCGAUCGAAAAGGGAAGAGCCCAAACCAUUCGUGUGUGAUAGCCCGCAGGCGUUGCACGAGUGGUGUUGUGAGAGCCGGGCGCACGGUUGCGGACGUGCGACGGAGUUACCAAGGCAAUUUUUAGACGAGCUGGCUGGAAAGCCGGGCCACAGAAGGUGAUAGCCCUGUAGUCGAAAGGAAUUGCCCUCCGCCGGAGUUCUCGAGUAGCGCCCGUCCCGUGGAACCGGGCGUGAAUCAGCGCGGCCCACCGCGCAAGGCUAAGUACUACUUGGUGACCGAUAGUGAAGAGUAGCGCGAGCGAAAGGUGAAAAGAACCCCUGUUAGGGGAGUGAAAUAGAACCUGAAACCGUAUACCUACCAGCGGUCGGAGCCCCAUUGACGGGGUGACGGCGUGCCUUUUGCAUAAUGACCCGGCGAGUUGGCGUACGCGGCAAGGUUAAGGGUUUAUGGCCCGAAGCCGAAGCGAAAGCGAGUGCGAAAUGUGCGACUAUUAGUCGAGUGCGCCAGACCCGAAACCAGGUGAUCUAGCCAUGGGCAGGAUGAAGCGGAUGUAACAGUUCGUGGAGGUCCGAACCGGUGAAUGUUGAAAAAUUCUCGGAUGACUUGUGGCUAGGGGUAAAAGAUCAAUCAAACCUGGAGAUAGCUGGUUCUCCCCGAAAUAGCUUUAGGGCUAGCCUCAGGAGUUUUCCCACGGGGGUAGAGCGACUGUUCAGGUCGAGGGGGUGCAUAACCUACCUCACCCAGACAAACUCCGAAUACCGUGGGUAAUUAUCCUGGGAGUCAGACUACGAGGGAUAAGCUUCGUGGUCAAAAGGGAAACAGCCCAGAUUGGCAGCUAAGGCCCCCAAUUCGUGCUAAGUGUACAUAAGGAAGUGGGGUUGCAUAGACAGCUAGGAUGUUGGCUUAGAAGCAGCCAUCAUUUAAAAAGUGCGUAAUAGCUUACUAGUCGAGCAACUCUGCGCCGAAAAUGAACGGGACUAAGCACGGAGCCGAAGCUCCAGACUGCACACGAAGACGUGUGCAUUGGUAGGGGAGCGUUGGACGAGCGGUUGAAGCCAGACGGUAACGACUGGUGGACGUGGUCCAAGUGAUUAUGCCGGGAUGAGUAGCGAUAAAGAAGGUGAGAAUCCUUCUCGCCGUAAGCCUAAGGUUUCCUGGGCAAGGUAAGUCCGCCCAGGGUUAGUCGGUCCCUAAGACGAGGCUGAAAGGCGUAGUCGAUGGGAAGCAGGUCAACAUUCCUGCACCACUGUUAGCGUUGAACGAGGAGUGACGGCGGGUAGAAGGUUGUCCGGCUGUUAGAUGCCGGUUCUUGGUUUGGGGUGGCUGAUAGGAAAAUCCGUCAGCGGAAUCUCCGGGCCGAGAGGAGUCCCAGAGGCGAACCAACUGGAAGUCCGUCCAAGAAAACCUUCGCGGGAGCGAAGCAGUGACCGUACCAAAUCUGACACAGGAGGGCGAGGCGAAUAGCCUCAGGCGCUCGAGAGAACCCUACGUGAAGGAACUCGGCAAAUUAACCCCGUAAGUUAGCGAUAAGGGGUGCCUCCGCAAGGAGGUCACAGUAAAUCGACAGCUGCGACUGUUUACUAAAAACACAGGUCUCUGCAAAGUCGUCAAAGACGACGUAUAGAGACUGACGCUUGCCCGCUGUUGGAACGUUAAGGUGACUGGUUAGCCGCAAGGCGAAGCUGGGAGCCGAAGCGCCAAUGAAGGGCGGCCGUAACUAUGACGGUCCUAAGGUAGCGAAAUUCCUUGUCGGGUAAGUUCCGACCCGCACGAAUAGCGUAACGACAGCUGUACUGUCUCCACGAGGGACUCGGCGAAAUUGUAGCUGUGGUGAAGAUGCCACAUACCCGCACCAAGACGGAAAGACCCCGUGAACCUUUACUGUAACCUAAUACUGGCUCUAGGUUCGCCAUGUGUAGCAUAGGUGGGAGACGUUGAUGUCGGGGGCGCCAGCCUCCGAAUAGUCAUCAGUGAAAUACCACUCUUGGCGUAUUUGGAUUCUAACCUGCGACCGUGAUCCGGCGUGGGGACAGUGUUAGGCGGGCAGUUUGACUGGGGCGGUCUCCUCCAAAAAGGUAACGGAGGAGCACAAAGGUACCCUCAAUGCGGUUGGCAAUCGCAUGUAGAGCGUAAAAGUAUAAGGGUGCUUGACUGCGAGACACAUAGGUCGAGCAGGUACGAAAGUAGGUUUUAGUGAUCCGGUGGUCCCGUGUGGAAGGGCCAUCGCUCAUCAGAUAAAAGGUACUCCGGGGAUAACAGGCUGAUCACGCCCAAGAGUCCAUAUCGACGGCGUGGUUUGGCACCUCGAUGUCGGCUCAUCGCAUCCUGGGGCUGAAGGCGGUCCCAAGGGUUGGUCUGUUCGCCCAUUAAAGCGGUACGUGAGCUGGGUUUAGACCGUCGUGAGACAGGUCGGUCCCUAUCUGGUGUGGGCGCAGGAUGAUUGAGGAGACUCUUUCCUAGUACGAGAGGAUUGGAAAGAACGAACCUCUGGUGUGCCAGUUGUCGCGCUAGCGGCAUCGCUGGAUAGCUAUGUUCGGAUCGGAUAAGCGCUGAAAGCAUCUAAGUGCGAAGCCAACUCCAAGACCAGUCAUCCCUCGAGACACCUGGUAGACCACCAGGUUGAUAGGCCGGCGGUGUAAGGGCGGUAACGUCCUCAGCCAACCGGUACUAACCAGUCGACAGGCUUGAUCUCACUCU
rnacentral:rRNA from 1 species